rnacentral:rRNA from 1 species
UACAGAGGUCCAAGCGUUGUUCGGAUUUACUGGGCGUAAAGGGAGCGUAGGUGGCAUUCUAAGUCUGAUGUGAAAGCUCUGAGCUUAACUCAGAAAUGGCAUUAGAAACUAGUUUGCUUGAGGAUUGGAGGGGAGAUUGGAAUUCUUGGUGUAGCAGUGAAAAUGCGUAGAUAUCAAGAGGAACACCAGUGGCGAAGGCGAAUCUCUGGACAAUCCUGACACUGAUGCUCGAAAGCUAGGGGAGCAAACGGG